AUUGAACGCUGGCGGCAUGCCUAACACAUGCAAGUCGAACGAGUGGCGGACGGGUGAGUAAUGUCUGGUAAACUGCCUGAUGGAGGGGGAUAACUACUGGAAACGGUAGCUAAUACCGCAUACCCUCGGAUGUGCCCAGAUGGGAUUGGCUAGUAGGUGGGGUAACGGCUCACCUAGGCGACGAUCCCUAGCUGGUCUGGGAGGAUGACCGGCCACACUGGAACGGGAACACGGUCCAGACUCCUACGGGAGGCAGCAGUGGGGAAUAUUGCACAAUGGGCGCAAGCCUGAUGCAGCCAUGCCGCGUGUAUGAAGAAGGCCUUCGGGUGGUAAAGUACGUUCAGCGGGGAGGCGUUACCCGCAGAAGAAGCACCGGCUAACUCCGUGCCAGCAGCCGCGGUAAUAC
rnacentral:rRNA from 1 species